AAGAAAUCAAGGGGAAAGAAAUCAAGAGGAAAGAAAUCAAAGGCAAAAGAAGGUGGAGGAAAGUGUAGGGACAAGGGGAGUGAAUGUCCAAAACUGGUGGAGAAGGGAUUUUGUACCGAUGAGACGCACCAGAAGAAGAUGAAGAAACGUUGCAAGAAGUCCUGCAACCUGUGCUGAAACUGGGCACAGUCUACAAAGACGAAUCAUUCCACCCGAGAAACAAUACAGAGAAACGACCUGGAGAAGCACCCCGUUACAUUUACUUUGAAUUCAUAUUUAGUAAAUAUUCCCCCACAUCAUCUUGCUUCAGUGCUGUUAUACGGUUCACUAACAAUAUGAUAUCUGAAAUAAACAUGUAAUUG